rfam:Rattus norvegicus chromosome 10, whole genome shotgun sequence.
GGGGAUUUAGCUCAGUGGUAGAGCGCUUGGCUAUCAAGCGAAAGGCCCUGGGUUCGGUCCCCAGCUCCG